CAUAUCAAUAAGCGGAGGAAAAGAAACUAACAAGGAUUCCCCUAGUAACGGCGAGUGAAGCGGGAAGAGCUCAAAUUUGUAAUCUGGCGGUCUAUGGCCGUCCGAGUUGUAGUCUGGAGAAGCGUUUUCUGCGUCGGACCGUGUACAAGUCCCUUGGAACAGGGCGUCACAGAGGGUGAGAAUCCCGUCUUUGACACGGACUGCCGGCGCUUUGUGAUGCGCUCUCGAAGAGUCGAGUUGUUUGGGAAUGCAGCUCAAAACGGGUGGUAAAUUCCAUCUAAAGCUAAAUAUUGGCGAAAGACCGAUAGCGAACAAGUACCGUGAGGGAAAGAUGAAAAGCACUUUGGAAAGAGAGUUAAACAGUACGUGAAAUUGUUGAAAGGGAAACGCUUGAAGUCAGUCGCGUCUCCCGGGACUCAGCCUUGCGUUUCUCGCCUGGCGUACUUCCCGGGACGACGGGCCAGCAUCGGUUUUGACCGUCGGAAAAAGGCUUUGGGAAUGUGGCACCUUCGGGUGUGUUAUAGCCCUCGGUCGUAUGCGACGGUUGGGAUCGAGGACCGCAGCACGCCUUUAUGGUCGGGGUUCGCCCACGUAACGUGCUUAGGAUGCUGGCGUAAUGGCUUUAAGCGACCCGUC
rnacentral:rRNA from 1 species